rnacentral:rRNA from 1 species
CAUAGGUUUGGUCCCAGCCUUCCUGUUAACUCUUAAUAAACUUACACAUGCAAGCACUCACCCAGAGAAAGCCC